CUCAUCUCUGAGAAUCAGAAACAUUACCCUAACCUAAACCCAGCCACCAGCCCACCAUCACCAUCCCCCAUGGCCGAACUCUUCUUCUCCGGUAGAUGGUGCUUUCGCCACCGGCGGGAAUCAUGGGUGCCGUUGCACUCUUCUCAUCGCCAAUCCCUUCUCAUCUUUCCUCUUCCCGUCACCGUCGCACGAAGGAAGCGUUGAUCCCGUGGCAUCACCGUCGCGAAGGUUGCUCGGUCGAUCGUUGUCUCUUCAAGCGCGUGCUCUCUCUCUCUCACUCACUCUCUCUGUGUCCGAGCUUCGAGAUUUCUAUUGCUCUCUGUUCGAGUUCACUUCCUUUGUUCCGUUGUCAUCAGCCCGUCACUUUCCAUUCCUCCCUCGCCGUCACUUUCCUUCCUCCUUCGCCGCCGUGUGUUUUCCCCUCCCUAGCACAAUAGCAUGAAAACUAGAGUAAAUGAAUGGAACACAAGCACAAUAAUGCAAACACAAAUGUGACGAGGGUGCUGUUGAACAAGUGAUCGUGAAGGCAACCUUACACACACAUGUGCAAUAUCCACACAGAAGUACAGAACAUAUGUGUCAAUAUAUAGAACCUCAAAUGAAAUGUUUAAAGCUUAAUAUUACUGUUCUUGGAGAGAUGGUGGACCGGAUCAAAAGUCUUGUGGCAGCGGGUGAGCAACAGCUACCGGUAGUUAUUUUUCAAUUUGCAAGAGUAAAGAAUUUUCGAGAACAUUAUGUAUGAUACCAGGCUCUUGAUAAAUCCAGAUGUUCUUGAGGCUGCGAUGCUUUGAAAAAGGUAUUGUACCAAUAUUGUGAAUUAUUUAUGGUUGUGCAUAUUGACUAUAUUUUUAUGGCGUUGUGAUUGAUAAGUAGCGUGUACUAUAGAGAGAUCUCGCAGUACCUAUCUGUACUUUCUGGCAAACCGGAGUAUGUUAAUGAAGAUGAAGUUUUAUAUUCCACUAAGAGGAAGACAAUAAAGGAGAUACAUGCGGCUGCGGAUCGUGAAGGCAGAAGCUAAUGCGGAUACAUACUUCUGCGAUGAUUGUAAUAAAGACGUGAAUAAUGUGGUUGAUAGGUACGACUCUAAUUGGACUUAAUUAUUUAUGCAAUAUUUUCAUAAAAAAAGCAAUAUAGUUAUGCAAUUGGUUAUGUCUCUUUUUAAUUUAUUUAGUAAUAUCUAGCUUAAUACUAAUAAUUAGUAGACAAUAAGAGAACAAUUUAUUAAAAAAAAAACUGCUUUGAUUGAUGGAAAUAUCGUCUAUCCACACACAAAAAAAUUGGCAAAAUGAAAUGAAGUGCAUAGAAAAAUUUCAUAUACCUACAACAAUUUUAUACUAAAGUCUCCUAUGCUAGACUAAAAUCUUGAAAACUAAUAAGCCUAAAAAAUUGUGUUUGAACAUUUAAAUUGUGUUGAAUAUAAUUUUUAUGAUUUUAUUAUAACUAAAGGGUGACAGGCCAAGUACUAAUUGAUGUUUUUGAAUAAAAAAACAAGUAUAAGUUGAAUUUGUUGGUUUUUGAUGGUACUGCUACAACAACUAUUAUUGUGUUCGAUAAGGAGGCCACAGCUCUAUUCGGACCGACCUGUACUGAAAUGCUGAAAGAUUUUAAUGUAUGUGGUUUUUGCUGUUGAAACCAUUUGAAUGGUUAUGAUGAUUCAAUGUCGGAUGUGAAUAUAGAAGAUAAUUUUAUACCAUCCUCAGAAACUUUAGACGGUAUGAAAAAUUUUAUCUGUAUGUUUAUUUGCAUCUUUGUGUACAUCAUGGAAUAAAUUGCAUCGGUAUGACAACUGAGUAUCUAAAGAGAGUUCAUUCGGCAGAUGUGUGGGAUAUAGAAAAUCCUAUUUAUCAAUGUUAACACUAUAAAGCAUGGAUGUGGUCUGAAGAAAGGCUUGCUAAAUUCAAACAGUCGCCCCAACCAAAUUUUUCAUUAUGUUGUAUGGAAGGAAAGAUCGAGCUUCCUCUACUUUCUGUGCCACCUGAUGCUUCAUACUGGAGGAGAUCAAAGAAGUAUUCAUUUCCUAAAAAACAUAAGGGCAUUUAGUUCAAUGUUUUGUUUUACAUCAAUGGCCGAAAAAAUUAACCGUGGAGUGAACAAUGGGACUGCUCCUCCAAAUUUUAAGCCCGGGGGUCAAAACUACCAUAGCAUUGGUAGCUUACUUCCUCCGGAUACGGGGAUAGUCUGCGACCAACAUUUGUCCAGCUAUAUAUCUAUGACACAGAAAAUGAGAUUGAUAAUCGGAUACGCACACUUCGUUCCAAUGAAGCUAUAAAUGAGCGGGAUAAGAAAAUUGUGGCAAUAUUAAGAAACAUGCUAGACAAAUAUAAAUAUUUGGCAAAGAAUUUUUGCUAUGCAAGAGAUAGGUACCAAUAGGAAAAUUGCACAAACAUAAAGCUUAAAUUGAUUAGUAAAAGGACUACAGAUGGCAGGACAUACAACUUGCCAUCUGCAUCUGAAGUGGCUGCAUUGAUUGUUGGCGAUGUCGAACAACUAAGCAAAGAUAGAGAUAUUUUUAUAGAGAGUCAAACUAGAUUCGCUGAGAUAUUGUUGGCUGCAUUACCUGUGUAUUGUGAUGAAGGGGUUUUUUCUUUGUGUAUGGUCAUGGGGGUACUGGAAAAAUAUUUCUCUGAAAUCUUAUGUCUGCGGAGAUUCGCUCAAGGGUGAUAUUGUGUUAAACAUUGCUUCAAGUGGUAUUGCAUCUUUUCUUCCCAAUGGAAGAACGGCACACUUAAGGUUCAAAAUACCGCUGAAUAUA